UGUUGGUUCUCCCGCAACGCUACUCUGUUUACCAGGUCAGGUCCGGAAGGAAGCAGCCAAGGCAGAUGACGCGUGUGCCGGGAUGUAGUUGGCAGGG
rnacentral:SRP_RNA from 2 species